GAUGAACGCUCGCUGUGUGCGUAAUACAUGCAUGUUGAACGGGAUGUAGCAAUACAUUCAGUAGCGAAUGGGUGAGUAACACGUACCUAACCUACCUUUAAGACUGGGAUAACUAUUGGAAACAAUAGCUAAUACCGGAUAUAGUUAUUUAUCGCAUGAUGAGUAAUAGAAAGGAGCUUCACAGCUUCACUUAAAAAUGGGGGUGCGGAACAUUAGUUAGUUGGUAGGGUAAUGGCCUACCAAGACGAUGAUGUUUAGCCGGGCCGAGAGGCUGUACAGCCACACUGGGACUGAGAUACGGCCCAGACUCCUACGGGAGGCAGCAGUAAGGAAUUUUCCACAAUGAGCGAAAGCUUGAUGGAGCGACACAGCGUGCAGGAUGAAGUUCUUCGGAAUGUAAACUGCUGUUAUAAGGGAAGAAAAAAUAGAAUAGGAAAUGAUUUUAUCUUGACGGUACCUUAUUAGAAAGCGACGGCAAACUAUGUGCCAGCAGCUGCGGUAAUACAUAGGUCGCAAGCGUUAUCCGGAAUUAUUGGGCGUAAAGCGUCCGUAGGUUUUUUGCUAAGUCUGGAGUUAAAUGCUGAAGCUCAACUUCAGUCCGCUUUGGAUACUGGCAAAAUAGAAUUAUAAAGAGGUUAGCGGAAUUCCUAGUGAAGCGGUGGAAUGCGUAGAUAUUAGGAAGAACACCAAUAGGCGAAGGCAGCUAACUGGUUAUAUAUUGACACUAAGGGACGAAAGCGUGGGGAGCAAACAGG
rnacentral:rRNA from 1 species